CUGAGAUGAGAAUUAGGGAGAAUCCAAAUGCUGUGUCGACUGUCGACCAAAAUCUCGCAACUUUUUGAUGAACUUCUGCCUUUGCUUUCGUACAAGUCACAAAAACAUCCCACUGCUCCUCCAUCAUAUGGCUAAAUUUCACUAGAGAAUAAAUCUUCUAAACCUAGGUCAAGCAUGUAAUCUUCUGGAUAAAAUAACUUGCAUUGUUUGCUGUAUUGUUAUCGUAAACAUAGUCCAUUG